rnacentral:rRNA from 1 species
UACGUAGGAUGCGAGCGUUAUCCGGAUUUAUUGGGUUUAAAGGGUGCGCAGGCGGUCUGUUAAGUCAGCGGUCAAAGCCCGGGGCUCAACCCCGGCCCGCCGUUGAAACUGGCAGUCUCGAGUUGGAGAGAAGUAUGCGGAAUGCGCGGUGUAGCGGUGAAAUGCAUAGAUAUCGCGCAGAACUCCGAUUGCGAAGGCAGCAUGCCGGCUCCACACUGACGCUGAGGCACGAAAGCGUGGGUAUCGAACAGG